GCUCAGAACGAACGCUGGCGGCAUGCCUAACACAUGCAAGUCGAACGAAGGCUUCGGCCUUAGUGGCGCACGGGUGCGUAACGCGUGGGAAUCUGCCCUAAGGUACGGAACAACUCCGGGAAACUGGAGCUAAUACCGUAUGUGCCCGAAAGGGGAAAGAUUUAUCGCCUGAGGAUGAGCCCGCGUCGGAUUAGCUAGUUGGUGAGGUAAAGGCUCACCAAGGCGACGAUCAGUAGCUGGUCUGAGAGGAUGAUCAGCCACACUGGGACUGAUAUCUCGGCCCAGAGACAUACGGGAGGCAGC
rnacentral:rRNA from 1 species